UACGUAGGGCGCAAGCGUUAUCCGGAAUUAUUGGGCGUAAAGAGCUCGUAGGCGGUUUGUCGCGUCUGCCGUGAAAGUCCGGGGCUCAACUCCGGAUCUGCGGUGGGUACGGGCAGACUAGAGUGCGGUAGGGGAGAUUGGAACUCCUGGUGUAGCGGUGGAAUGCGCAGAUAUCAGGAAGAACACCGAUGGCGAAGGCAGAUCUCUGGGCCGUAACUGACGCUGAGGAGCGAAAGCAUGGGGAGCGAACAGG
rnacentral:rRNA from 1 species